rnacentral:rRNA from 1 species
AAUGAACGCUGGUGGCGUGCUUAACACAUGCAAGUCGAGCGAGAAAGUCCCUUCGGGGAUGAGUACAGCGGCGGACGGGUGAGUAAUGCGUAAGAAUCUACCCUCUAAUGAAGGAUACCCCCGAGAAAUCGGGUCCAAUACUGCAUAAGUCCCUCCGGGGAGAAAGGUGGCCUAAUUUGCUGCCGUUAGAGGAUGAGCUUGCGUGCUAUUAGCUAGUUGGUGGGGUAAAGGCCUACCAAGGCAAUGAUGGCUAGCCGGCCUGAGAGGGUGUCCGGCCACACUGGAACUUAGACACGGUCCAGACUCCUACGGGAGGCAGCAGUGGGGAAUAUUGCGCAAUGGGCGAAAGCCUGACGCAGCGACGCCGCGUGGAGGAUGAAGGUCUUCGGAUUGUAAACUUCUGUUAAGUGGGAAAAAAGACCGGUUUUUAAUAGAAAUCGGGGAUGAUUGUACCAUUAGAGAAAGCACUGGCUAACCUCGUGCCAGCCGCCGCCGUAA